rfam:Phoenicopterus ruber ruber contig12374, whole genome shotgun sequence.
AGCCUAUGAUGGUUUCAGUAUGAGUAGUGGACAGAAGUGAUUUCUGAAAACUCCACGCUGAGGCU